CUGCAGAUUAGGCGGCGAACGCUCGGGAAAGGGCGAAGAACAUAAGAGGGUGAUGGGUUACUGCACUGAUCACUUAAAGAACACUUUAUGUUUGUAUAUUCUAUAGAUCAGUGGGUUGCUGUCAUGUGACAGCCACACACAAAAAACGGAAAUGCAUCAUAGAGCGAGAGCAAGCCAUGUGGGAUCCUUGCUCCUGAUAUCCUGAUGAUACUGUCCUGUAUGACUCCAACAGAACACUCACAGAAAGGAGAGCAGUGUGAUACUACAAGAUAACUAGCAACAAACCCCUUGUUUGUCCUUGUUUGGCUACUCAUUUGUCUACUUCCUGAAGAGGAGCAUGCUAGCCUCGACACCUCAGUUCUUGCUUCCAUUAACAGCUGUGUUAUGGAGCGCAUCCUCACAUCAUGGUCUACUGCAGCAGGUGGAUACGGAAGACAAUUGGUCCAAACCAUCUUGAAGCCUUUUGGACAGAGGAGCGGAUGACCGAGCUGGUUAACCUCUACAUAAAUAGACACAUGUCAAGUGGGUUUAUCAAGGCCCAAAUAUGCUGAGGAAUACAGGCUGCCUUGGUGGCCUAAGGAGUCAUGUCAAUGAUCAGCUGUUUGUUGAGGCAGCAGCAGCAGGAGCAGCACCAACAACAGAAGCAGCAGCAGCAGCAGGAGCAGCACCACCAGCACUAUAAACGCCAUCAGCAGCACCACCAGCACUAUAAACGCCAUCAGCAGCAGCGGCAGAUUAUAAAGAAGGAUAACAAUGAAUACAUGAAAUCAGAGUGGGAAGUUGUGCUUUUAUGUUUCAUAUAUACUGUAUAAAUAUAUGCACCUUACU